rnacentral:rRNA from 1 species
GACGAACGCUGGCGGCGUGCCUAAUACAUGCAAGUCGAACGCAGUGGGGAUGGGUGAGUAACAAGUGGGUAACCUCCCAUCAGAGGGGAUAACACUUGGAAACAGGUGCUAAAACCGCAAUUGAUGUAUGGACCCGCGGUGCAUUAGCCAGUUGGUGAGGUAACGUCUAAGCAAGGCCACGAUGCAGAGCUGACCUGAGAGGAUGAUCGGCCACACUGGGACUGUGACACGGCCCAGACUCCGAUGGGAGGAAGCAGUGGGGAAUAUUCGGCAAUGGACGAAAGUCUGACCGAGAAACGCCGCGUGAGUGAAGAAGGUUUUCGGAUCGUAAAGCUCUGUUGUUAGAGAAGCGGUAUCUAAACAGAAAGCCACGGCUAACUACGUGCCAGCAGCCGCGGUAAUUC